GACGAACGCUGGCGGCGCGCCUAACACACGCAAGUCGAACGGAGCUUAAAGAGCUUGCUUUUUAAGCUUAGUGGCGAACGGGUGAGUAACGCGUGAGUAACCUGCCCUGGAGUGGGGGACAACAGUUGGAAACGACUGCUAAUACCGCAUAAGCCCACGGAUCCGCAUGGAUCUGCGGGAAAAGGAUUUAUUCGCUUCAGGAUGGACUCGCGUCCAAUUAGCUAGUUGGUGAGGUAACGGCCCACCAAGGCGACGAUUGGUAGCCGGACUGAGAGGUUGAACGGCCACAUUGGGACUGAGACACGGCCCACACUCCUACGGGAGGCAGCAGUGGGGGAUAUUGCACAAUGGGGGAAACCCUGAUGCAGCGACGCCGCGUGGAGGAAGAAGGUUUUCGGAUUGUAAACUCCUGUCGUUAGGGACGAUAAUGACGGUACCUAACAAGAAAGCACCGGCUAACUACGUGCCAGCAGCCGCGGUAAAACGUAGGGUGCGAGCGUUGUCCGGAAUUACUGGGUGUAAAGGGAGCGCAGGCGGAUCGGCAAGUUGGAAGUGAAAACUAUGGGCUCAACCCAUAAAUUGCUUUCAAAACUGCUGGCCUUGAGUAGUGCAGAGGUAGGUGGAAUUCCCGGUGUAGCGGGGGGAAUGCGUAGAUAUCGGGAGGAACACCAGUGGCGAAAGCGACCUACUGGGCACCAACUGAAGCUGAGGCUCGAAAGCAUGGGUAGCAAACAGGAUUAGAUACCCUGGUAGUCCAUGCCGUAAACGAUGAUUACUAGGUGUUGGAGGAUUGACCCCUUCAGUGCCGCAGUUAACACAAUAAGUAAUCCACCUGGGGAGUACGACCGCAAGGUUGAAACUCAAAGGAAUUGACGGGGGCCCGCACAAGCAGUGGAGUAUGUGGUUUAAUUCGAAGCAACGCGAAGAACCUUACCAGGUCUUGACAUCCGAUGCAUAGUGCAGAGAUGCAUGAAGUCCUUCGGGACAUCGAGACAGGUGGUGCAUGGUUGUCGUCAGCUCGUGUCGUGAGAUGUUGGGUUAAGUCCCGCAACGAGCGCAACCCUUAUUGCCAGUUACUACGCAAGAGGACUCUGGCGAGACUGCCGUUGACAAAACGGAGGAAGGUGGGGAUGACGUCAAAUCAUCAUGCCCUUUAUGACCUGGGCUACACACGUACUACAAUGGCGUUUAACAAAGAGAAGCAAGACCGCGAGGUGGAGCAAAACUCAAAAACAACGUCUCAGUUCAGAUUGCAGGCUGCAACUCGCCUGCAUGAAGUCGGAAUUGCUAGUAAUCGCGGAUCAGCAUGCCGCGGUGAAUACGUUCCCGGGCCUUGCAC
rnacentral:rRNA from 1 species